GGAUUUUCCAGGCAAGAGUGCUGGAGUGGGGUGCCAUCGCCUUCUCCAUGCAUUCCUCUAGCUUCUCUGUAAUUGAUGCUAAUUGAAUUUCAAAGCAAAGGUAGCGCUCUUCCAUUACUAUGGUGAAUUCCAGUCAUUGAAAACUGGCGUUACCUUACACAAGCCCAGCCUUGCCUGUUGCAGUUUGUUUGGAAGUUACAGCUAGGAGCCAGCUCAGGUAAGGGCAAAUAUAAGAAUACUCAAGUGGAUUGCCAUGCCCUCUACCGGGGGAUCUUCCUGACCCAGGGAUAAAACUCGUGUCUCUUACGUCUCCCGCAUUGGCAGACAGAUUUUUUUACCACUAGUGCCACCUUAGAAGCCCAAACAGAUAGAUUAGUGCAUUUUAAACAAAGAAAAGCAAGAAGGCCUCUGGAAAUGGAAAAACCAAAUAGUUUGAUACUUUUGAGAAAAGUUACUAAACACUCUUCAAUUUGCAUGACAACUUAAAAACGCUCAAGCGUUUGCAGUUAUAGACUUAGUAAUUGAUCUAGAUAUCUCUUCUUGCUUCUUCUUUUCUUAUGUUCUGGAGCUGAGAAAAGCAGCAUUUCUAAUUUACAUGUCCAAAUUAGUUUCAACCUACUUAUAUUGAAUGAUAAUAGAUUUCUUUUUCUUAUAAUUAAUGUUGUCUGAAAACAUAAUACAGAUUUAACUUAUCAUUGUAAAGAUCUUAAGAUUUUAAUAUUUUUGCAGAGGCAUAAAUACAGUGUAGCUAUAAUUAUUUCAUUAUGUAUGUAUAAAAAUAGGAUACGGCAAAAAGUACAUGCUUUCCCUCACUGAUUACUCUUAAUGUCUCCCAAAUUUCCUGAUUUACAAUAUUCUCUAAGGAUGUAGAUUUUUCUAAUUGAAGUACAGUAAUUUGCAUAUUUUUAGACCUUGUUGACACAGUUAAUUGAUAUGUCAUUACUUAUAUCAUGCUGAAUAUAAUUUACACUCUUUAUUCACGGCAGACUUACAAUGCUGUCCUUUUGGGGAAGAACUCACAAAGUAGCAUUCUUUGUCUGGCUUUUCUUUUUUGCUUAGCCAGCCUUCGCCCAAGGAAAACCAGAAAGAAUGACGGCCAAUUGGCAGGGUUUUCUGUUCAGCUGCAUAUUAACCAUUAACAUAAUAGUCUAAUAAAUCUUAGCAGUGGUGGUAAGAAUGGACAUUUUUUUUCCUAGCAGUUUGCUAUUUUCAAAAGACUUUUCACCUAUUAUUAUCUCAAUUAAUCCUCACAUAAUCCUUGAAAAAGGGAUUGUUACAUUUCCUUUACUGAUGGGCAAAGAGAGGUUUGGGAGACAUGAAGA
rnacentral:lncRNA from 1 species